GGGCCUAUAGGUAAGUGGUAUACCGUAUCUAUGGCAUAGAUAAGUCUCGGGUUCGAUUCCCGGUAGGUCCA
rfam:Microgenomates bacterium GW2011_GWC1_41_8 TT81_C0008, whole genome shotgun sequence.